CUCUUACUGCCAUCAGCUCUCAGGCUGCAGCGGGGGUGGGGGGCAGUGAGGCCACAGCUGAGACGGGGCAGCCUGUGCCGAGGGGCAGGAGGCCCAGCUGACGAAGGAGAAGGCUUAUCUGGCCUCCAUCGCGGUUCUUGGGAAAGAUGGAAAGCAGAGGUGGUGGAGCAGCUGACCUUCAAAACUGACCUGCGUUGCUGUUUGAGUUGCAAAAAGCCAUUAACCAGAAGGCUAAUGUUUAGCUUUCUGCUGCCAUUGAUAAGAGCGGGGAACUCAGGAAAGCCAUAGCUUUUACCAUUUCCUGACCUGGAGUGAAAACAGCUCUUUUGUCUCCAUCCGUAGACAAAUUUGGGGUCGUAUCCUUUCGUGAGGCUGACCCACCUGUGACUAGCUCAUCUUUCCCUGGAAUUCUCAAACAACAAAAGCCAAGCUGGUCCCACCAUGGAAGGGAAGAAGGGAGUGGCAGGAAUUGUCUGUGCUUUUGCAAUGUGUCCCCAUCCCCUCCACCAACUCUCUGCCCGCUGCACCAUCAUGGAGACAUGCUAGUAGGGGUGACAUGGCAUGACAAAUUCCAUGGACUCAUAGCCCCGUGGCCUCCGCAGACAGCGCUCAUAUAUGCAAGUAGAUGAGUGACCGGUUCUUAUGAAGUCUGGAUGCCAGAAACUUCUAAGAAUGGGCUCUUCUGCUUCUGGAACUGAUGGUUGAAGGCAUCAAGCAGUCCCUGAUCAUGACAGCAGUCCCUGCCAUGCCUUCCCUGGGACACAAGGCUGGCCUCCAUGAUGACAAACAUGCAGGGGAUCCCAGACACCUGGAUGCUCCCCUCCCCCAUCGGAUCCCUCAAGGGAGCUGGGUUCCCUUUAGCCACCCUGAAUGCAGGCCAAAUGGUACUGGAGGCAGAGACAAAGAAAGAAAGGCAGAAACUAGGUGCAGGGAAGAAGAUCCAGGGACCUGACAUCUUGGUCUCAAAAGACAUCAGCUUCUGAAGAACUGCAUCAUUAUCUCAGGCGGUUCACAAGGGCCCUGAAACCACAGCCUGUGUAGACAAAUGUUCUGGAAAGGUAAGAACACGCCUUCCUUCCCAACCCGCUCUGCUCGGAAGCCUGCACUUGGCCAGCCUUCCUCCCUGCCACCAGGAUCAGUAAGACAGGCCUCCGUUGCUCUCCUUCCCCGGAGUGCUCCCUGCGGAUGGUAGGCUCCCUACCCCCUGCCCUGUAGGCGUCUCAGUGGGAAUACAGCCCAACGCAGAUUCAUGGGGUUGUAGAAAUAAGUUUUUGUUUCAGAGGUGCCAGGGGAGGGCUGACUUCCUGACUCACUUCCUGGGCCCCAAACCACGGUGAGUAACUCGUAAGAGCAGACCAGGCUGCAGGGCACGAGUGGCCGCAGGUCUCAGCACAUGUGCCCGGGUAGCCAUGAGUGCUGUGUGAGCUGGGCCAUGCAGAAAAGGCACUUGUGGAAACAAGAGCCUGAGGGGAAGUGAGUGUAAGAAGGAAGGAUGGUGAAGCAUUUCCUUCCAGGUGACAACUUAGCAGCAUGGCUCCCAGGAGGUAUGAAGAUGGUAACCAUGAGGUCCUGAGCGACAGGGGUGUAGGGCCAUGUGCAAAUAUCCUACCCUGAGAAUGUGCUCCCCACUAGCCCUUGGCACAUUCACUCCCACCCAAGAUCUCCUCAGGCCUACACAGGAUGGAUCUCAACUCACCCCUACCCUGCCCUCCC
rnacentral:lncRNA from 12 species